GACGAACGCUGGCGGCGUGCCUAAUACAUGCAAGUAGAACGCUGAAGAGAGGAGCUUACUCUUCUGGGAUGAGUUGCGGACGGGUGAGUAACGCGUAGGUAACCUGCCUAUAGCGGGGGGAAACUAUUGGAAAAGAUAGCUAAUACCGCAUAACAAUGGUUGACACAUUUCUUUUAAUGUAAAAGGGCAAUUGCUCCACUACAAGAUGUACCUGCGUUGUAUUAGCUAGUAGGGGAGGUAAUGGCGCAACUAGGCGACGAUACAUAGCCGACCUGAGAGGGGGAUCGGCCAACCUGGGAAUGAGACACGGCCCAGACUCCUACCGGAGGCAGCAGUAGGGAAUCUUCGGCAAUGGGGGCAACGCUGACCGAGCAAAGCCGCGUGAGGGAAGAAGGUUUUCGGAUCGUAAAGCUCUGUUGUAAGUCAAGAACGGGUGUGAGAGGGGAAAGUUCACACUGUGACGGUAGCUUACCAGAAAGGGACGGCUAACUACGUG
rnacentral:rRNA from 1 species